rnacentral:rRNA from 1 species
UACGUAGGUGGCGAGCGUUGUCCGGAAUUACUGGGUGUAAAGGGCGUGUAGGCGGGAGAUCAAGUCAGAUGUGAAAUUCCCAGGCUUAACCUGGGCGCUGCAUCUGAAACUGAUUUUCUUGAGUGCUGGAGAGGGAAGCGGAAUUCCUAGUGUAGCGGUGAAAUGCGUAGAUAUUAGGAGGAACACCAGUGGCGAAGGCGGCUUUCUGGACAGUAACUGACGCUGAGGCGCGAAAGCGUGGGGAGCAAACAGGAUUAGAUACCCUGGUAGUCCACGCCGUAAACGAUGGAUACUAGGUGUAGGAGGUAUCGACCCCUUCUGUGCCGGAGUUAACACAAUAAGUAUCCCACCUGGGGAGUACGGCCGCAAGGUUGAA